rnacentral:rRNA from 1 species
UACGUAGGGUGCAAGCGUUGUCCGGAAUUAUUGGGCGUAAAGAGCUCGUAGGCGGUUUGUCGCGUCUGCUGUGAAAACUCGGGGCUUAACCCCGGGCCUGCAGUGGGUACGGGCAGACUAGAGUGCGGUAGGGGAGACUGGAAUUCUUGGUGUAGCGGUGAAAUGCGUUGAUAUCAAGAAGAACACCGGUGGCGAAGGCGGCUCUCUGGAAUGCUACUGACACUGAGGCACGAAAGCUGGGGGAGCAAACAGG